AAACAAAAAGUGAUUUUCUGUCAGUCUGUAGUGUUACCAGUUUAACCAAAGAAUGACUGCCCCGUGUUAAGUUUGUUUAAAUGCUUAUACAAUUGGACAAUAGGAGGAAAUCGACUUGCUCUAAACCACCCCGUCUGAGAACCACUCGUCUUCUACAGCCGGGGCUCGCAGACACUUUCUGCAUCAACGUCAGCACCUCUGAGUCCGCAGGGUUUACUGAAGUCAGUUGGGGUUAACAGAAAUUGUGCACAUUGUUUUUACUUUUUUGCACCUUUUGUUUUCUCUUCGUCCUUUUUUCUCCUUUUUCACAUGUUUGGCUAAUGCAGAUGUUACCUUCAGGACUCUCCUGUCUAAAGUACGUUGCCAAUAACAGUCUCU